AAAUAUAUGCGACACGUAGUUCUCUUUUAAAUAAAGCUACUGAUAAGAGGCAUAUGCUGUUAGUCAAAGAUGCUUUGCGGCGAUUUUUUUCAGACCCGUUUCAAAUCAUUUAUUUAAUAAGCAUUUCUUCAGCAACUGUUUUAAGAGCUUGGGAUACAUGAGUGAACAAAAGAGUUAAAGAUAUCUGCCCCAUGGAGUUUACAUUCAAGUAAUUCUGAUUAACUCUUGCUCCCAUUUUCUUUCUUUGUUUUCUCUCUUCAUACACUGAAGAAAAUAAAUUUCCUGUGCAAGCGAAUCUGUUCUCAAACGUGGCAACAGUCUCAAACUGAAAAGCAAUGGCUCAGACCCUCCAGCUUCUCAGGGUUUGCAGCGCUGGACCAAAGAGAAGAGUCCUCCCGGGGUCCUAGAAGGGUGAGCCGCGCGUUACCAUGGAGACCGCGGAACUUGAGGGCUCUGAGGCGCGGGUGGGGUUUCUUCGACCUCACCUUGGGGGUGCCCUUUGCACUCCUUCUGUGCCGCCGCCGGGAAGGCAGGACUCGCAAGGGCGGCGGCGGAGCUGAGGCCGCGGGGCAGUUGCAGGUCCUUCCAGGUGUGGGAUGUGGGACGCCGCCUCAACGUGGCCUGACGAGCAGUGCCACGUCUGCACCCAGGAUCCGAACCCUGGGCCGCCGCAGCGGAGCGUGGGAACUUAACCACUCAGCCAUGGAGCCGGCCCCCUGACUUUUAACCUGAUAGAUUAAUGUUGCCUGUUUUUGAAUUUUAUAUAAAUGGAAUCAAACAGUAUAUCUUCUGUUAUGUUUGGUUCUCUCACUCAUCAUUAUAUUUGUGAGAUUUGUUCUUUUGUUGCCAGUGGUCACCGUUCGUUCAUUCUUGUUACUGUAGAUUAUUCCAUUGGGUGAUCAUACUAUGAUUUGUCAUUCUACUGUAGAUGGACAUUUGAGUUGUUUCCAGUUUUGGUUAUUAUGUCUUUGGUGAACAUAUAUAUGCAUUUCUGUUGCAUUUAUAACUAAGAAUUGCUGGGUCAUAGAGUAUGGCAGUUUACCAAAGUAGUUGUGCAAACUUGUGCUCCUAGCAGCAGUGUUUGAAAGUUAUAGUUGUUCCACAGGCUUGUCAACACUUGGCACUGUCCUUUUCAUUUUAGCCAUUAUGGUGGGUGUGAAAUGAUAUCUCCUGUGGUUCUAAUUUGCAUUUCACUAUUAACUAAUGGAGUUGAGCACCUUGUUAAAUGUUUACUGGCUGUUUAGACAUACUGUUUUGUGAAAUGCCUAUUCUUUUGCCACACUUCUAAUUGAUUGCCUUUUUGUUAUUGAUUUGUAGGAAUUAUUUAUAUGUUUUAUAUACUCUGGGGAUAUUUUAAAUCCAUCUCCUAUUUAUUCUCUGCUUAUUUAUCCCUCUGAUCUCUAUUGACCUGUUACUGACUAUAAGUCUAGGACCAGGCUUUGGAGUAGCUUUAUUUUACUCUCCAGGUAAUUGUAUCCUGUUACCUUCCAUACAAGGAACAUUGCAAUUUCCCAAACCCGCUGUAAUUUCCCAGCUGGAGCAGGGUCAGGAAUCCUAUGUUCUCGAUCUGCAUGGAGCUGACUUAAGAGAGGCCUGUACAAGCUCCUGGGCAGUGUCAAGUGUUAAGACCCAGGUUAGGAGUGGGGAAUCAAUGGAAAAGUACGUUUUGAAAAUGAGGAGUCACACUGAGUCAUCUUGACAAAUACUCAGAAGAAUCAGUGUGGAAAAUCCAUAGAAGCAUUGAAAGAUAAGAAUAGCAAUUCUAAGGAGGUGAACAAUGAAGAUCAGGACAUUCUGACGUCAGAACAAAAAGAAGAGGAUUAGGGGAAAGUUUGCACAUAAACUUGGAAUAUGCCAUGUAUGAAAGAAUUCGCAGUGCACACAGUUUCUGUGAAUAUAGCACAAGUUGUGAAAACAUCUGUUGGCAGUCAGAACUUAUUCCCCACGAGAAAAUGCAUGACAAAGAGAAAGCUUGUGAAUGUGAAGAAUGUGGAAAAGCUUUCAGAGUGAUCUCAGCCCUCACCCUACAUAACAGAAUCCACAGUGGUGAGAAACCUUAUGGAUGUGAAGAGUGUGGGAAGGCCUUCAGCCAGAGCUCUGCCCUAAUCCAGCACAAAAGAAUCCAUGGUGGGGAGAAACCGUCUAUGUGCGACUAGGGUCACAAAGCCUUCCAUGGGAGCUCAGAUCUUAUUAAACACGAGAGAAUUCACACUGGAGUGAAACCCUGUGAAUGAGAGGACUGCAGGAAAUCCUUUAGGAAUAUCUCAGCCCUCACUGGACACCACUGGAUCCACACUGGGCAGAAACCCUUUGAAUGUAAUGAAUGUGAGAAGACCUUUCAUCAGAGCUCAGAACUUAAUGUACCCAGAAGAGUCCACACAGGAGAGAAACCAUAUACAUGUGAGAAGUGUGGGAAAGCUUUCAGAGUGAGCUCAGAUCCAAUGGGCAUGAAAGAAGAAAGCGUACUGAAGAGAAACUCCCUCAGCGUGAGAAUGAAAAAUCAGUGAGUCCAAUUUCCUCUCCUCAGCCACAUCCACAUCUGCCUCCUUGCAGCAUUUGACACUAAGGAGCCCUUACUUUUUUUUGUAAACUUAACCCUAUUUAAUAUUGUAUCCUGCUUCCUGGUAUUCUCAAUCGCUCUUACCCUACUUUUUUCCAUACAUCUUAGUAAUUUCUAAUGUGUAUUUUAUUUGUUUAUAAUGUUUAUUUAUUACGUGUAUUAUCUUAUCCCUCUGCUAGAAUAUAGGACAGGGAAGUUGGUCUCUUGUUUGCUGAUCUAUUCUAAGCCACUAGAAUCUUGCCUGGUAAAUGGAGGGAGUGGGGUGGGUGGCACAGUAAAUAUUUCUUGAAUGAAAUGAAUUCCCUGCUUUCCAUGAUAUGCUUUUUCUGGGUUACCCUUUAGCGCCUCCAGCCGUUCCUUUCCUCUUGCCUCUUGCCUUUGCUGACUGCUCUUGGUCCCCUUAUCCUAAGCUGUGGCUGUGUAUCAUGGUCUGUUCUUUAGGCGAGAAGUCUUUCUUUUGUGUGUGUGUUUUAUAUACUCAUAGUUCUCCUUAUACAAAAAGAUGGUAUUUAGUCAUAUAUUAAUUGGGAGAAUUUAGCAUAAAUAGUGUUUCCUUUCUCUCUUUUAAUGAUAAACUUUUGCUAAAAAAGAGGAAAUGUUCUCUGAAUAUGGUAAUAAUAAUAAAAAAUUUUAAAGUCAGGGUUAUUUAGAUGUAAUUGACAUAUCAUAAAAUUUAGGUGUGCAGCUUUGUGAGAUUUGCCCAAUGUAUAUAGUUGUGUGAACAUCAUCACGAUCAAGAAUGAAUAUUUGCAUCAUCCCCCCAAAUUUCCUCUUGUCCCUUUUGAAGUCAGUCACUCCUCCUACCCCCAGCCCCUGGUAACCUCUGAUUGGAUUUCUGCCCUAAUAGUUUCUGGGCAAGGAGUCUUAAUUAUGUAACUGGCGAUAUCUUCUCCUGACCUUCACUGCAAUCCUGUUUGACUAAAUGAUGCUCUGCUUUCAGCUCUGCAUCAACAGUAUGUUGUAAUAAAUCACACACGUGCUAUUUCUGUAUUCAUGUGGGCAUUUCAAGGCGAAUCAUGGAAGGGGAAAAGUAAAAACCUGUGUUUCUACCA